UUUCGACUCAGGGCUUCAUGUUGUGCACUACUCGCGCUACUUCAAUGGGACUGACAACAUGGUGACGGUGAGCAGUGCACGUUUGGAAGAACUAUGGUCUUCGGUUCUUUACCAGCUACUCUGCUUGGAAGGAAACAGGGGAUACAUCCCACAAGAGAUUAGGGAGAUCAUCCAUGGGAUGUGAAAGAAAUGACGCGAAGAUGGGGAGGUUUAUUUUGUCCUGUACUCCUCGGUGUGUCUGUGGAGGGAAAUAUUUUGGCUCAAGACUGUAUGCGUCUGUCAAUGCCUAUAUAUUGCUGAAAAUGUGGCAAGGGAUGAAAAUUGACAAACAUUUCCGUAAGCAUAUGUUUGGAGUUGAGAAA